rnacentral:rRNA from 1 species
GUAGGUGGCAAGCGUUGUCCGGAAUUAUUGGGCGUAAAGCGCGCGCAGGCGGUUCUUUAAGUCUGAUGUGAAAGCCCACGGCUCAACCGUGGAGGGUCAUUGGAAACUGGAGAACUUGAGUACAGAAGAGGAAAGCGGAAUUCCACGUGUAGCGGUGAAAUGCGUAGAGAUGUGGAGGAACACCAGUGGCGAAGGCGGCUUUCUGGUCUGUAACUGACGCUGAGGCGCGAAAGCGUGGGGAGCAAACAGGGAUUAGAUACCCUGGUAGUCCACGCCGUAAACGAUGAGUGCUAAGUGUUAGGGGGUUUCCGCCCCCUUAGUGCUGCAGCUAACGCAUUAAGCACUCUGCCUGGGAGUACGGCCGCAAGGCUG